rnacentral:siRNA from 1 species
UCAAUUAUAGUCUGCAGUGGUCC